rnacentral:rRNA from 1 species
AGUGAACGCUGGCGGUAGGCCUAACACAUGCAAGUCGAACGGCAGCACAGUAAGAGCUUGCUCUUACGGGUGGCGAGUGGCGGACGGGUGAGGAAUACAUCGGAAUCUACUUUUUCGUGGGUGAUAACGUAGGGAAACUUACGCUAAUACCGCAUACGACCUACGGGUGAAAGCAGGGGAUCUUCGGCCCUUGCGCGAUUGAAUGACCCGAUGUCGGAUUAGCUAGUUGGCGGGGUAAAGGCCCACCAAGGCGACGAUCCGUAGCUGGUCUGAGAGGAUGAUCAGCCACACUGGAACUGAGACACGGUCCAGACUCCUACGGGAGGCAGCAGUGGGGAAUAUUGGACAAUGGGCGCAAGCCUGAUCCAGCCAUACCGCGUGGGUGAAGAAGGCCUUCGGGUUGUAAAGCCCUUUUGUUGGGAAAGAAAAGCAGCAGGUUAAUACCCCGCUGUUCUGACGGUACCCAAAGAAUAAGCACCGGCUAACUUCGUG